rnacentral:rRNA from 1 species
AGCUGCGUCGAGAUCAUUCGCAAUGGGCGAAGCCUGACGAUGCGACGCCGUGUGAGCGAAGAAGGCCUUCGGGUUGUAAAGCUCUUUCGCUUGGGAACAAGAGAAGUUGGAUAACACCCAGCUAAUUUGAGUGUACCAGGUAAAGAAGCACCGGCUAACUCC